rnacentral:lncRNA from 1 species
UUGAAGGAAAAAAUCAGUCUUCUUUGGGAGUUUGUUUCUGGUUUGAUUUUGAACUGUUUGAGGGUCUGUAUUGCUGUUUGAUUUUACAAUUGGUUGUGGGCUAUGAUUCUGUUGAUUGCUGGAUUCCAUUUUGUUCGGUUCAGAACUAUCUUGGAUGUUUUAACUGCUAUAUUGUUGCUGGUGAUCUGUUAUUUGAUGUUGCUGCUGCUGACUACUCUUCCCUCUUCUUCUUUUGCUUUCCAAUAUCAGGUACACAACUGAUACACUAACUAUUGUAAGCUGAUAACACGAAGCAUGAAUACAAAAUGAAGAGUUGAAGUUCUGAAUUCACUUUAGUUUGUCUACUUAUUUUGUAUAUAUUAGGAUAUUCUUUCACUAGAAUCAUAUAGGUGGCUAUGAUGUAC